AUGGUGGCGGUGGGGGUGACAGUGUCAGUGGCGGUGGCAGCGGUGGCCUGGUGGGUGCCGCGGGCUGCGCCGGGAGAACAAGGAACCGCUCCGAGGGCGGUGAGGCUGCUCGGACCUUCCGGCGCGGCGGCAGCGCGGAGGCGGCGCUGGGAACAAUGGCCCUUUGUUCCGCGCGCCGCUGGCAUCCCACAUCCCAGCCUGCAUCCCAUCCUGAAUCCCACAUCCCGGCCUGCAUCCCAUCCUGAAUCCUACAUCCUGGCCUGCAUCCCCCAUCCUGGCCUGCAUCCUGCAUCCCAGCCUGCAUCCCAGCCUGCAUCCCCCAUCCUGGCCUGCAUCCCCCAUCCCGGCCUGCAUCCCAGCCUGCAUCCCAUUCCACAUCUUGGCCUGCAUCCCAUCCUGCAUCCCACCCCACAUCCCACCCUGUGUCCCCUAACCCAGCCUGCAUCCCGUAUCCCAGCCUGCAUCCUCUAUCCCAUCCUCCCUCCCAUCCUCCACCCUGCAUCCCAGCCCACAUCCCACUCCACAUCCCACAUCCCAUACUCCAUCUGCACAUCCCACCGCACAUCCUGCAUCCCACUCCUCAUCCCACAUCCCACUCCUCAUCCCACAUCCCACGCUCCACCCUGUUCCCCGGCAGUCCCAGCGCCCCUCCCGGCUCCCUGCAUCCCACAGCUCCCGUGGGGCUCCGAGCCAGGUGCUGGGGGCUCACAGAGGUGGGGGGGUGUUGGGUGUCACCCCACGCAGCUCCCACCUGUCCCCAGCCAUGACAGGGGAUACUUUGGAAACGGAGAGCAGGCUGGAGCAGAAUGGCACUGGGAAGGAGGAGGAGGAGGAGGCCACAGGGUGAAGGCUCAUGUGCUGUCACCCGCAGCUUGGCACCGGAAGCCAUUUGUCACCUUUGUCACCCUCUGGGCACGCCGGCAGUGGCAGGACCAGAUUUGCUGGGGCUGGCUGUGGCUCCUGUCCCCUCCGGUGUCCCCAUCCCUUGGUGUUCCUGGGAGGUGGGUGGCUCCGGGAGGGAAGGGGGGCACCCUGCGUGCCACCUCCAGAGCCACCCUCACCUUGGGGACAGCAGGAUGCUGGGGAUGGUGA
rnacentral:lncRNA from 13 species